rnacentral:rRNA from 1 species
GAACUGAAGAGUUUGAUCAUGGCUCAGAUUGAACGCUGGCGGCAGGCCUAACACAUGCAAGUCGAGCGGAUGAAGGGAGCUUGCUCCUGGAUUCAGCGGCGGACGGGUGAG